GUCAUUGAGAGCAUAGUCUUCUUUUCAUUUCUGAUUCGGACCACUCUCAACUCCCAAUAAUUUGAGUCGCACAGAGGGUAGCCUCCCAUGAGACACCGAACGGUGACACAUCGAGGGAUAGGAUACGGAUGCCUCCACACCCGCCAUUCAUCACAGCGUUCCACAGUAAGCAAUGAACACAACUCGCCAAUGGGUCGGUGCUAUGGCAAAAAAUAAACUGUAAAGUGGAGACGGGCGACGAGCGACUGGCUGUCAGCUGGCAGGAUCUUUACGAGUAUAGAAGCAUUCGAACGGGGCAAAAAUAAAUGUUUUCAAAUGUUUGACGCGUACUGACAACAAAUAAGCACAUCCGAUGGGUGGAAAGGGGGCUAAGGCCUCACUCGCACACACUGAUACAUACUCGUAGCCUCAUUCCGCUUUUGUCCCUGUGUGCGUGCGUUUAAUGUCC
rnacentral:lncRNA from 1 species